UGGUUAAAAAUACACUCAGCGAUUUAAUUCGUUUCGUACGCAUGAAAUUAUAUCGUUAUUUUAUUUUAACCUAAAGAGAAAAUCUAUCACCCUUCGUUUCUCCUCCACCGAAACGUCUUUUCCGUCGGCCUUCUUUCCCUCCUCUUUAGUUUCUAAUUUUUAGAGGCUAUUGAGAAGGGGGAGUGUUAAUGGUCUGAUUGGAUCAGCGCGUAGGUGGGGGAGCAAUGCGGGAGUGUUUUGAUUUUCCCCUUCAUAUUCCCGGCAUUUUCAACGCCCACUGGGGGCACCUUCUUGUUAAGUGAUGUUGAUUUUGCCGUAACAGAACGGAGGGGCACACAAAAGGAAAAGAGGACGCCGUUAGGAGUGGAAAAAGAAAAAACGG
rnacentral:sRNA from 1 species